rnacentral:rRNA from 1 species
CUACGCUGCGAUAAGCCGUGGGGAGCUGCGAAGAAGCUUUGAUCCACGGAUUUCCGAAUGGGGAAACCCACCUUCGAUAGCCGGAACUCCAAGAUCUUGAGGUUUAGACACCUUGUGUUUUGGGGUUCGACCAGAAAUGCGAGAAAUCAAACCGCGAGGUUUUGGAUUUCCGGUUAUCAAGAGAAGGUAUGAGACUUCUGAAUAAAAUAGGAGGUUUCAAGCGAACCCAGGGAACUGAAACAUCUAAGUACCUGGAGGAAAGGACAUCAAUCGAGACUCCGUUAGUAGUGGCGAGCGAACGCGGACCAGGCCAGUGAUACAUCAAAGACAACCGGAACCUGUCAGGAAAGCAGGGCCUCAGAGGGUGAUAGCCCCGUACGGGUAAUGCGAUGAUGUAUCCUUGAGUAAGGCGGGACACGUGUAAUCCUGUCUGAACAUGGGGGGACCACCCUCCAAGCCUAAGUACUCCUCAGCGACCGAUAGU